GGAGAGGUGCCAGAGUGGUCGAAUGGGCCUGAUUCGAAAUCAGGUGUGCGGUUACCCGUACCGUGGGUUCGAAUCCCACCCUCUCCGCCA
rnacentral:tRNA from 1 species